rnacentral:lncRNA from 1 species
CAUAAUAAUGACUCUGUCAGCUGUCGGUCAUUUCCAACAGUCUGUCGAGGUGAGUAGGAUACGCGGCGAGUGCAGGCCGGCCAGAGGAGAUCCGCAACCAUUAUUGCACCGGAUCUUGGGGUCUAUUUAAACACGUUCUCCUCCUUCAGGGGUUCCACCUUGAUCGAGAGAAUCCCUCGGUUCCCCUCUUCUUCCCCGAGAGCUCCAGCUUCUCCGACUUCGAUGCAAUUCUGCACCAACAGAAUUGACGCUAG